UCGUGGUUCAUUCAUUGAAGGAAGAUAUGUCCAUGAAGAACUGCUUCCCAUUUCGAAACACUCCACUGAUUUAAGACCUUUCUGUUUUAAAUUAAAAC